AAAGGGGAGAGCAUUAAAAGUAGUAAUUACUGUUUGAAACUAUAGCCUGUCAAAGCAAGCAUCAAAACACAAAAGGCAGAAACACUGUUUCAGCUCGAAUGCCUUAAUGCAACUGUGUCAUGAAGCACUUCAUCAGAAAACCCUGAAGUACAGCUAACUCUUUUCCCCUCUGUACAGCAGCACAAUUUCACUGUUACAGGAGUAAAAUGUGCCUGGCCUGACAAUGAAACAGCAGAGCCAUCACAUUGUUAUGCAACGCACUGUCUGCAAGGGUGGUUUGUAGUUCCUUCUUUAUUCAGCAAGUGCCAAGUGCAUGUUUAAUCAAUGUCACAGCUCACUACAGUAUGCAACCAAAGCCACUGUCUAUCCACUUCUCAGAGCUGACUGGCUGCUAAGUUAUGCAAUGCUUUGAAGAAUAUCUUGGAAUUAUUUUCAGAGGCUUUGAGUGCAGGUCUAUGACAGUCCGAACACUACUGCCAAUAAAACAGAUAUUUUUCAUCCUUUUUCGAAGUCUGGACUAAAAUUACACAGUGUAAUUGAAUAUACAGUUUACUGAAUUUGGAGUUCUUGCGUGUCAACGUGAAAAAGCGUCUUCAGAGGGCUGGUGAGAAGCAGAGCAGAUUAAAGGCUCAUUUUUGAAGUGAAAGUCAAGAAAACUACAUAUACCUAAACAAAAGCAGGAGCUUAUCUAAUUUUUUUUUAAUUAAACCCAAAUGGCAUGUAUUACUUGCUUGUGAAUAAAAUAUAUAUCAUCUAAGGAAAAGCUCAAAUUUAAUUAAGAUAAUAAUGUACAGUUUGUGUCAAUAUUGAAAGGGUUGUUUGUUUGUUUGUUUUAAACUAUGUUUAGCUUCAAUGGAUUACAGAAAGAUAAAGCCAGUCAGUAUUUUUGGAAGAUCUUGUAAUACCAUCACUUCCACAGCUUUAACUUCUUUAUCAAAAAAUUGUUCAUGUUCAUAUAGGAUCUCUCUCUCUCUCUCUUUAAAUGAAAAGAGCAGCCCUCCAUGAAGAUAAAAGGUUGGUUUGUCACUGAAUCGAGGACUAAAAAGCAUGUCUGAUGACAUUUUAUUCCUGAUGCAAUGUAGGCUAGCUGUCAGAAUACCAGUGAAGAUAACUGCAGAAAAAAUGGGGACCUCUGCCAUCACAACACUAGAAGAUGUAAAAAAGCAAGAGGAGAAUGAAGAAAAAGAAGAAUCUAUUUUAGCCAUGUUGGGGAUAAUUGGAACAGUGCUCAAUCUCUUUGUGAUUGUUUUUGUGUAUGUCUACACUACACUUUGAUGACAUUUUCCAGCAUCAAUUGUACAGUAUACAGUGUGAAGACCUGAGAUGGCAAGAAUGAUUUCUAAAUGCAAAGCAAUAGGAAACACUGCCUCAAAAGAUUAUCAAACACAUUCCAGAGCAAAGUAUCUGGCUAAGGGUACUGCAUCAAUGACUGUGAAAUGCAUCAGUAAGCCCAGUUAGGAGAACUAAAUUAUGUAAAUGCAGACUGACAAUAUUAAACUUCUCAUUCAUGAAGGAUGAAGCUCGAACACUGGAAAUACAGAUAGUAUUGUUUUAUUACCAAUGAACAUUCAGGAAACAAUCAGUGUAAACAAAUUAAAAUCCAGAGGACAAUCGCACCAUAGAAGUCUUCAUGAAGAAUGCAGAUUACAUAUAUAUUUUAUUUAUUUCAAUCCCAUGCUUUCUAUAGAUUUGUGAUGAUACACCUCUGUAUAGGUAAGACCAGAAAACAAAAAGUCAAGUAGGGUUUUUAUUUUAAAAGCACCAUUGUAUGUUAAGAUUUAUACCAAUGUAUAAUGAGUGUGGGGGGAAAAAGCACUGUUAUACCAAAAGUACCGUAAAAUUAUAAAUAAAAUUUUAACUAUUGACUAAA